CACCUAAAAACCCAUGACCUUCAUGCCCCAAUUGCAUAGAAAAAUUGCAGAAAUAAUUCCCGAAUUUAGCUACUUUAUCUCACCCAAUUGCACCCACCAACCACCAAUACUUGGUAAUCGCGCCGCCAAUUGAAUCGUCACCGCCAUAGUCGUGCCGGCCUAGCCAUACUCCAAUCGCUAUGCCCCACAGCUGCGACGAGAAUACCCAUCGUUACAAUAGAAUAGCAGCGUAUAAUUUUUGAAUUUUUAAAGGAUAAAUUUGUAAUGUGAAAAAUUAAUCCAUUACAUUGUAGCAUUCAAGAAACUGCGACUGGCCCUCGGU
rnacentral:lncRNA from 1 species